CAGUAGCCGCGGUAAUACGUAGGGUGCAAGCGUUAAUCGGAAUUACUGGGCGUAAAGCGUGCGCAGGCGGUUAUAUAAUACAGAUGUGAAAUCCCCGGGCUCAACCUGGGAACUGCAUUUGUGACUGUAUAGCUAGAGUACGGCAGAGGGGGAUGGAAUUCCGCGUGUAGCAGUGAAAUGCGUAGAUAUGCGGAGGAACACCGAUGGCGAAGGCAAUCCCCUGGGCCUGUACUGACGCUCAUGCACGAAAGCGUGGGGAGCAAACAGGAUUAGAUACCCGCGUAGUCCCUGUCUCUUAUAC
rnacentral:rRNA from 1 species